rnacentral:rRNA from 1 species
UACGUAGGGUGCAAGCGUUGUCCGGAAUUAUUGGGCGUAAAGAGCUCGUAGGCGGUCUGUCGCGUCUGCUGUGAAAACCCGCGGCUUAACCGCGGGCUUGCGGUUGAUACGGGCUAGCUAGAGUGUGGUAGGGGAGAUCGGAAUUCCUGGUGUAGCGGUGAAAUGCGCAGAUAUCAGGAGGAACACCGGUGGCGAAGGCGGUGUGCUGGGCCGUAGCUGACGCUGAGGCGCGACAGCGUGGGGAGCAACAGG